rnacentral:rRNA from 1 species
UACGUAGGUGACAAGCGUUGUCCGGAUUUACUGGGCGUAAGGAGCGCGCAGGCGGUCGAUCAAGUCGAGUGUGAAAGCCCCCGGCUCAACUGGGGAGGGUCAUUCGAUACUGAUCGACUCGAAGGCAGGAGAGGGUAGUGGAAUUCCCGGUGUAGUGGCGAAAUGCGUGGAUAUCGAUAGGAACACUCGUGGCGAAGGCGAGCUACUGGACAACAUCUGACGCUGAGGCUCGAAGGCUAGGGGAGCAAAAGGG